GAGUUUGAUCGUGGCUCAGAUUGAACGCUGGCGGCAUGCCUUACACAUGCAAGUCGAACGGCAGCACGGGAGCUUGCUCCUGGUGGCGAGUGGCGAACGGGUGAGUAAUGCAUCGGAACGUAUCCUGGAGUGGGGGAUAACGUAGCGAAAGUUACGCUAAUACCGCAUAUUCUGUGAGCAAGAAAGCGGGGGACCUUCGGGCCUCGCGCUCUUGGAGCGGCCGAUGUCGGAUUAGCUAGUUGGUGAGGUAAAGGCUCACCAAGGCGACGAUCCGUAGCAGGUCUGAGAGGAUGAUCUGCCACACUGGAACUGAGACACGGUCCAGACUCCUACGGGAGGCAGCAGUGGGAAUUUUGGACAAUGGGGGCAACCCUGAUCCAGCCAUGCCGCGUGAGUGAAGAAGGCCUCGG
rnacentral:rRNA from 1 species